rnacentral:lncRNA from 1 species
UCUUCCAAAUUUUCUUAAACAUUUAACUUAACGAAUUCCUUAAAAAAGAAAAAGUAACUUUAAACACAAAAUUGAUCUAAUCUUUUUAAUGUAAAAUUAAAUUUAAAUUAAUUUACGUGUACAUUCGUCGUAACACAUUUAACACGAAAUUUACAUGUUCUCGUAACGUUACGGUAACUUUCUCCUCCCCCAACCCCCUUUAAUCAAGAGAUGAGGAUAACCCUUGGCUUCUUUCACACAGACAUGAGCGAAGCAAACGAUCUAAACGAAAAGUUUGUUUAAAAACGAGUGUAUCGAUGAACAGUGAAUCGAAUGAAAAAAAAAAGAAAAAAAAAAGAAAUAAUUAAUAAUCUAGCCAUAACACCACCAUGACUCACACGAAGAGGAUGGAGACGAUUCGUGUUUGAGAAAAAACUACACAAAGAUUGGAUUGUCAAGCAUCUCAA